rnacentral:rRNA from 1 species
ACUCCUACGGGAGGCAGCAGUGGGGAAUAUUGCACAAUGGGCGCAAGCCUGAUGCAGCGACGCCGCGUGAGGGAUGACGGCCUUCGGGUUGUAAACCUCUGUUAGCAGGGAAGAAGAGAGAUUGACGGUACCUGCAGAG